UCCGGUUUGACACCGGCAGUCUCCCUAGAGUGCCCGGCAUAACCCGCUGGUAACUAGGGACGAGGGUUGCGCUCGUUGCGCCACUUAAGGCAACACCUCACGGCACGAGCUGACGACAGCCGUGCACCACCUGUGCAGGCUCCGUAGAGCACCCGCUUUCACGGGUUUCACCCUGCAUGUCAAGCCCAGGUAAGGUUCUUCGCGUCGCAUCGAAUUAAGCCGCAUGCUCCGCCGCUUGUGCGGGUCCCCGUCAAUUCCUUUGAGUUUCAGCCUUGCGGCCGUACUCCCCAGGCGGGGUACUUCCUGCGUUAGCGCCGGCACUCAGGGGGUCGCUCCCCCAAGCACCUAGUACCCAUCGUUUACGGCGUGGACUAC
rnacentral:misc_RNA from 1 species